UACGAAGGUCCCGAGCGUUGUUCGGAAUCACUGGGCGGAAAGGGAGCGUAGGCGGCGUGGCCAGUCAGACGUGAAAUCCCGGGGCUCAACCCCGGAACUGCGUCCGAUACUGCCAUGCUCGAGCAUUGGAGAGGGAGGUGGAAUUCUUGGUGUAGCAGUGAAAUGCGUGGAUAUCAAGAGGAACACUCGUGGCGAAAGCGAGCUGGUGGACAAUUGCUGACGCUGAGGCUCGAAGGCCGGGGGAGCGAAAGGG
rnacentral:rRNA from 1 species